rnacentral:lncRNA from 1 species
UCUAGAAUAUGAACAAAAUAUUCAUGAACUGAAAUAUUUUCACAAAUUCUACUCGUCCGACAACGAUUUUGACUCUUCUCCUCUGAAAAAUAUCAGGAUAAAAUUUAAUGAGUUUCACAAACUCAAUAAGUAUUUUCGUUCUUUCAAACCCAGAUUAGACAUCAUGCAAAAUACACACCAUGUGGCAUAUACAGUGGUAAUAUUUUCAACACAAAAUUUAUUUAUAAUUUUGACCAUUUUCUAAACUUGAAUUUACUUAUUAAACACAAUUAUUUCGGACCUUCUGAUUUCACUUGUUUCUGAUCAGAUUUCUUAAUUACACUUUAGUAUCAUUUAUAGCAUCAAAGUAUCAUCACAUACACUCGAAAGAAAAUAUAUAUACUCAAAAAGUCAUCUAUAGGAUUUUAUCGCGCGAUGCUAUUUAUGUCAUCGUUGAGGAGAGACAAAAUGGAU